GACAGAGGGUGCAAACGUUGCUCGGAAUCACUGGGCGUAAAGGGCGUGUAGGCGGGAAGGAUAGUCAGAUGUGAAAGCCCUGGGCUCAACCCAGGAACUGCAUUUGAAACUCCCUUUCUUGAGUGUCGGAGAGGAAAGCGGAAUUCCUGGUAUAGAGGUGAAAUUCGUAGAUAUCAGGAGGAACACCGGUGGCGAAGGCGGCUUUCUGGACGACAACUGACGCUGAGACGCGAAAGCGUGGGGAGCAAACAGG
rnacentral:rRNA from 1 species